rnacentral:rRNA from 1 species
CUACGGGGGGCAGCAGUGAGGAAUAUUGGACAAUGGGCGCAAGCCUGAUCCAGCAACGCCGCGUGGAGGAAGAAGGCCUUCGGGUUGUAAACUCCUUUUCUGGGGGAAGAGGAAGGACGGUACCCCAGGAAUAAGACACGGCUAACUACGUGCCAGCAGCCGCGGUAACACGUAGGUGUCGAGCGUUAUCCGGAAUUACUGGGCGUAAAGCGCACGCAGGCGGCACGACAAGUCUCGUGUGAAAGCUCCCGGCUCAACCGGGAGAGGUCGCGGGAAACUGUCGUGCUUGAGGCAGGGAGAGGGGCGUGGAAUUCCCGGUGUAGCGGUGGAAUGCGUAGAUAUCGGGAGGAACACCAG